AACGUAGGAGACGAAACGUUAUCCGGAGUUACUGGGCGUAAAGGGCGUGUAGGUGGUUGCGUAAGUCUGGCGUGAAAUUUUUCGGCUUAACCGGGAAAGGUCGUCGGAUACUGCGUAGCUAGAGGACGGUAGAGGCGUGUGGAAUUCCGGGUGUAGUGGUGAAAUGCGUAGAGAUCCGGAGGAACACCAGUGGCGAAGGCGACACGCUGGGCCGGUAACCUGACACUGAUGCGCGACAGCAUGGGGAGCAAACAGG
rnacentral:rRNA from 1 species